rnacentral:rRNA from 1 species
GAUGAACGCUGGCGGCGUGCUUAAUACAUGCAAGUCGAGCGAAAAGACGCGGAGCUUGCUCGUCUGACGUUAGCCGCGGACGGGAGAGAAACACGUGUAUCCCCUACCUGUAAGACUGGGAUAACUUGGGGAAACCGGAGCUAAUACGGUAUGAGAUAUUUAUCCGCGGGGUUCACUGGUAAAUUUCGGCUUUUCUGUCACGAAUCGCUGGUUACGCGCCGCAUUAGCUAGUUGGUAAGGUCACAGCCUACCAAGGCGACGAUGCGUAGCCGAACUGAGAGGGUGAUCGGCCACACUGGAACUGAGACACGGCCCAGACUCCUACGGGAGGCAGCAGUAGGGAAUGUUGGGCAAUGGGCGAAAGCCUGACGGAGCAACGCCGUGUGAGUGAUGAAGGCCUUCGGAUCGUAAAACGCUGUUAUUCGGGAAGAACAGAUUUGGAAUUAACCAUGGACCUCUUGACGGUACCGUAUCAAAAAGCACCGGCUAACUACGUG